UGGGUGAGAUGUGCUCCCCUUUAAGCCUACGCCACACCCUUGUAUCGACCAAUAUUGGGCGCGACUAAUGUUUUUUCCGACGGUACACUGAAGGCAGCACGUGUAGGCAGCUCCUCCGUAUCUCCACCGACACACCGACCCGGGCAGACGGACUGACGGACUGACGGCAGACGGGUGCGGCGGCGUCGGUGAGGGUCCUCUCCGUGACACGACAGUUCGGCGGUCCUGGUUCCUCAGCGUCCAAGAUGAUGUGGACUUUUGUGAUCCUGCUGGCAGCUGCCCUCAGUGUGGAUUCCUAUGCUAUCCAUGACCAUGAACGUUUAAACCAUGGUCGCCAGCUGAAGAUCUUCCUGUCCAAGAAUUGCGAGAAGCUAGAGUUCAUCCCAGCUGAUGAUCCCACCAGGACCCUUCUCUACUGGGAGAAUGGCAGAACUAGGAUGUCCAAAGGCCGGGUGUCUGGCACAGGUAGUGAUCGACGCUGGUACCUUGACAAGGUGACUUAUGAGGACCAGGGGACGUACAUCCAGAGAGAUUAUUGGAAAAAAGAGAUCUCCACAUUCAAAGUGGCCGUCUUACCGAAACUUAACUUUGUGAAGUGUGUAGCUGGAGAGAGUCUAUACGUCUCACUGGAGGGCAUUGACCUGGCUGACGCCUACCUCGCCUUCUCUGGAGAGGCUGCCAACGUGACACUGGUGCGCCACGGGGCUCCGGUGUCCCAGGAUCUCCCCGAUUACUGGAACCGGGUUCAGACCCACUCCAUGAACAUAGAGAUCAGACAUGUGAACUACACGGAUCAAGGACAUUACUUCCUGAGAGACAGCAAGGGCCGAAAGGUGUCUGUAACCAGGAUGGACCUGACAGACCAUCAUGAGAACACAGGAGGAAACCCUCUCAUGGCACUCCUCUUACUGCUGGGUAUCCCGGCCGGGAUCUGCUGCUGCUGUCGUAAAAAGAUUUUCAAAAAGACAGAAACCACCACUGCAACGCUUCAGACUUCAGCAGUCCAUCCUCCUCCCGGCAACCCCGUUGGACCUUCUCCUCCCUACACUGCUCCCGGACAUCCAGGGGGGGUGUACAGCCAUGGCCCCAACCCUAGCAUGGGUCCGACAGUCUAUCCUCCCCCUCCAGCUGCUGGCCCAGGACAGUGGAACGGCCCCCCACCAUCCCCAGGUUAUAACCCAGCCUACCCGCCCCAGAACCUUCCCUAUCCUACUCCUGGCCCAGCUAUGGGUGUCCCAGCCCAGCCUCCAUACUGGAAUGGUCCACCCCCAGGCCAGUACCCCCCUGGACCUGGAGCUCCAAUGGGUUAUGCUCCUGUCAUGUACAGUGCUCCUCCACCAGCGUCAGCCAGUGAACCUGUUAAAGAGGAGGUCAAAAUGGAGAAUAUGGGUUACUCACCUGCUGACCCCCUGCUAACUGCCACAGCACCGGCUGAAGCUGCAGCCUCUCCUGAGGCCCCUGUGCCCCCCUCCUCCACCAACACCCUCAGCUCCUCUGAAGUUGCCUCCACGUUCAAGAUCGACGGAGCGAACAGCUUCCUGUAGGGACGCUCACUUCCCUCUGAUGUUGCAUUGCCCCACUGCCACCGUUUCCUCUGUGUAAGCGUUCCCCUCAGGAAUGAAGAAUGGGGCUGGUGGAAACAAAACGCCAGCAAAGACUUUGUUCUUUGCCUCCUUUACUUGAUUAGCUUUAAAUCCCCCGAUCUGAAAAUUAAGAAUUAUUAGGCUGUGGUACUCUUGCAAAAUUUCCAGAGGCAACGAGACAAAGAAAGUGUUUUCCUGAUGUUUUCGCAUGUGGAAUACCAGUAUUGUAUCAAAUAUCUAAUCUGAGGAACAGGCUUGGGAACACUUCACCAAAAGUUUAAGCGAUGUCACUUAACACAUGAUUGUGUUUUCACUGAUUCCAGUCAUGAUCAGAUUUUUGCUUCUCUACCCGAUAAAUGAGAGCUGAAUGUUUGAUGUGUAGUGUGUCAGGUAACCAGACACAAUAGUUAUAAAGAUUAGAGAUUAACACAACAGACAGACCUUUGAUUUGAAGUUUUAGCAGUAUGAAUGUAUGGACUACAGGAUUAAGAGCUCAGUUGACCUGACCAGAAGUUGGCUCCAGGCCGGCUGUUUCGUCCACGUGUCUCAAAGUCAUACAACCUUUUGAUACACGUGAGUGUCCGGUCUGUCCCUAUUCAACGAUAAAUAUGUAGUCGCGCCCUCUUCACAGUUGGCUUCGCAUUCAGUUUUUUUUACACUCGACCUCACCAGAAAGUGGCCGUUGCAGUACCAGAAAUAUAACAUUAAAGCACCGGUGUGUAAUUUUUGUACUUUUCUGGCGGCAUCUGGUUGUACAGUUGCAAACCGCAACCAACUGAGCAUCCGACAGGGGACACUUUAUUGUGGCGCACUGCUAAUUCCAUUUUUGGUUCCUUCAGAAGUCGGGGUGGUGAUUUUUUUCUGACCUCCCGAGUCGCAGUGGAACUGGAACGCAGCACAACACAGAGACAGAUUAGUGUGCUUACCUAGUCCCAAAGGGAAACUGGAGGUUAGACAUAUAACCAAUGUUCCCUGAGGGAGGGAAACCAGGUACAACACAGAAGUAUGGGGAUUGUGUCCUUGCAAAAGACCAACCUGAAGAAACUAUCAACACCACAGUCAAGGCCAAAGAGACUGUUGCAGGCAGGCGAUCCGACUUCAAGUUGCCUUGGAUGAUCAUGAACGCUGCAGCGUUCAUGAGCGGACAGACUGUAACACGCGCCGCACAUUCACUGCUGCAACCAACUCCGUUUCACCGUACCUCGCCUUGCACACCGGGGACGAACGUAAACACGUCCCGACCCGUCGCCGCAGCCCUUAUCAUGAGUUGACAGCAAGAACGCCUGGUGAGACACAUCAUUCAUUUUUGUCCCUCUCUGCAGGUAAUGUUCUUCUUUGGAGACAUAACCUCAUUCAAAAAGAAAGUAGUUUGCAGAUGCAAGAUUGUCUGUCAGUAUCAGGUCUCUGUCAGUGAACGUCCCCCUGUUCCAACCUAGAGAACCAAUAACACGGUGUGCAGGUGUGAGGAAACACACCCGGGACACAUUUGAGAUCCGGUCACUCAUUUAGCGGGAAG